rnacentral:rRNA from 1 species
GAUGAACGCUGGCGGCGUGCUUAACACAUGCAAGUCGAACGAAGCACUUUAUUUGAUUUCCUUCGGGACUGAUUAUUUUGUGACUGAGUGGCGGACGGGUGAGUAACGCGUGGGUAACCUGCCUUGUACAGGGGGAUAACAGUUGGAAACGGCUGCUAAUACCGCAUAAGCGCACGGCAUCGCAUGAUGCAGUGUGAAAAACUCCGGUGGUAUAAGAUGGACCCGCGUUGGAUUAGCUAGUUGGUGAGGUAACGGCCCACCAAGGCGACGAUCCAUAGCCGACCUGAGAGGGUGACCGGCCACAUUGGGACUGAGACACGGCACAAACUCCUACGGGAGGCAGCAGUGGGGAAUAUUGCACAAUGGGCGAAAGCCUGAUGCAGCGACGCCGCGUGAGCGAAGAAGUAUUUCGGUAUGUAAAGCUCUAUCAGCAGGGAAGAUAAUGACGGUACCUGACUAAGAAGCACCGGCUAAAUACGUG